rnacentral:rRNA from 1 species
GUUUCGUACUUCCUGCGGGCGCCCCACACCUCCGGAGAGGCAGUUUUGCAGCGCCCCCGUGAUGGAUCCCGCUCCGCCGAAGCAACUUGGACGAUUUCGCGAUUUUUUUAAUUAGCCUUUCGGCUUCUCAUAAUGACCCUUUCGGGUGUGAACCUGCGGAGGGAUCAUUAUUAGAAGCCGAAAGGCUACUUAAAACCAUCGCGAACUCGUCCAAGUUGCUUCGGCGGCGCGGCCUCCCUCACGGGGGCGCCGCAGCCCCGCCUCUCCGGAGGUGUGGGGCGCCCGCCGGAGGUACGAAACUCUGUAUUAUAGUGGCAUCUCUGAGUAAAAAACAAAUAAGUUAAAACUUUCAACAACGGAUCUCUUGGUUCUGGCAUCGAUGAAGAACGCAGCGAAAUGCGAUAAGUAAUGUGAAUUGCAGAAUUCAGUGAAUCAUCGAAUCUUUGAACGCACAUUGCGCCCGCUAGUACUCUAGCGGGCAUGCCUGUUCGAGCGUCAUUUCAACCCUCAAGCCCUGCUUGGUGUUGGGGCCCUACGGCUGCCGUAGGCCCUGAAAGGAAGUGGCGGGCUCGCUACAACUCCGAGCGUAGUAAUUCAUUAUCUCGCUAGGGACGUUGCGGCGCGCUCCUGCCGUUAAAGACCAUCUUUAACUCAAGGUUGACCUCGGAUCAGGUAGGAAUACCCGCUGAACUUAAGCAUAUCAAUA